AUGUCCCGAGCCGAGCUAUGAUCGAAGCGAUCAAACAAUUCGACAUCGAAAGAAGGGAAGGUGUGAACAUGAGAAUAGGUGUGCAUACAGGCACCGUGCUCUGCGGAAUCGUGGGUACGAAAAGAUUCAAGUUCAAUGUUUGGUCGAACGAUGUGACAUUGGCGAAUAAACUUGAGAGCGGGAAACGGGAAAACCCGGUCGUGUACACUUGAGUGAGAAUACCCUGAGAUUUCUGGACGACCAGUACAUCACAGAGGGAGAACUAGUCAAUGGCGUUAAAACUUAUUUCAUCCGAGUCUGCAAAUCGGACUUCAUGAAUCAAUUUAUCACGAACGUUACGUCACCGAAAAGUAUCUCACCGUUGAUGCAGUCACGUAGCCGUCUGGCGUCGUGCAAUACUCAGGUUAAGCCACGCCAUCAUUAUCUUCACAUGGUCAUCAACACGAGCAACUAUCGGAUGAAAGCCAAUUCCUUGUCGAGUAUCUUGGAUUCAGAGAAUGGCGGCGACACUAUAGACGAAAAAGAGGAUUCUAACAAGAGCCCGACGUCCACCGCUAGUUAUGGCAAGAAGAAGUACGAAACGGAAGAAAGAAAGUACGAAACAAAUCGUGGAAGUACUUGCAGAGGCAACGGACGACCGAGGAGAUGAUACCGCUGGAGAUAGAGGAGGGGAGAAACAUCGCCAUGGGACGAGCGAAACCUGAAGUCCAGGCGUAUGAGGAGU